rnacentral:rRNA from 1 species
GACGAACGCUGGCGGCGUGCCUAAUACAUGCAAGUCGAACGCAUUUUCUUUCACCGUAGCUUGCUACACCGAAAGAAAAUGAGUGGCGAACGGGUGAGUAACACGUUGGUAACCUGCCCAUCAGCGGGGGAUAACACUUGGAAACAGGUGCUAAUACCGCAUAAUUCCAUUUACUGCAUGGUAGAUGGAUGAAAGGCGCUUUUGCGUCACUGAUGGAUGGACCCGCGGUGCAUUAGCUAGUUGGUGGGGUAACGGCCUACCAAGGCUGCGAUGCAUAGCCGACCUGAGAGGGUGAUCGGCCACACUGGGACUGAGACACGGCCCAGACUCCUACGGGAGGCAGCAGUAGGGAAUCUUCGGCAAUGGACGCAAGUCUGACCGAGCAACGCCGCGUGAGUGAAGAAGGGUUUCGGAUCGUAAAACUCUGUUGUUAGAAAAGAACAAGGAUGAGAGUGGAAAGUUCAUCCCUUGACGGUAUCUAACCAGAAAGCCACGGCUAACUACGUG